GGAAAGGUGGAGGGAUGUAGGUAGCUGUGAUCAGAGAAACUGCAGACUUCAAGUUCAAAUGCAGAGCAGUUCUAGGGAGAAACUAGAUGUAGACUAGCACUCUUCAACAGAAAUAAAAUACAAGCCACAAAAGUAACUUAAAAAUUUCUGGUAUCCACAUUAGA